GAUGAACGCUAGCGAUAGGCCUAACACAUGCAAGUCGAGGGGCAUCACAUGAAGUAGCAAUACGGAUGGUGGCGACCGGCGCACGGGUGAGUAACACGUAUGCAACCUGCCUUCAACAAGGGGAUAACCCGUUGAAAGACGGACUAAUACCCUAUAACACAGGGGUCCCGCAUGGGAAUAUUUGUUAAAGGACAACCGGUUGAAGAUGGGCAUGCGUUCCAUUAGCUAGUUGGCGGGGUAACGGCCCACCAAGGCAACGAUGGAUAGGGGAACUGAGAGGUUUGUCCCCCACACUGGAACUGAGACACGGACCAGACUCCUACGGGAGGCAGCAGUGAGGAAUAUUGGUCAAUGGGCGAGAGCCUGAACCAGCCAAGUCGCGUGAAGGAAGACUGCCUUAUGGGUUGUAAACUUCUUUAUACAGGAAUAAAGUGCCCCACGCGUGGGGUUUUGCAUGUACCGUAUGAAUAAGGAUCGGCUAACUCCGUGCCAGCAGCCGCGAU
rnacentral:rRNA from 1 species